GUAGGUGGCAAGCGUUGUCCGGAAUUAUUGGGCGUAAAGCGCGCGCAGGUGGUUCUUUAAGUCUGAUGUGAAAGCCCCCGGCUCAUCCGGGGAGGGUCAUUGGAAACUGGGGAACUUGAGUGCAGGAGAGGAAAGUGGAAUUCCACGUGUAGCGGUGAAAUGCGUAGAUAUGUGGAGGAACACCAGUGGCGAAGGCGACUUUCUGGCCUGUAACUGACACUGAGGCGCGAAAGCGUGGGGAGCAAACAGGGAUUAGAUACCCUGGUAGUCCACGCCGUAAACGAUGAGUGCUAAGUGUUGGGGGGGUUUCCGCCCCCUCAGUGCUGCAGCUAACGCAUUAAGCACUCCGCCUGGGAGUACGGUCGCAAGACUG
rnacentral:rRNA from 1 species